CCUACGGGAGGCUGCAGUAGGGAAUUUUCCGCAAUGGGCGAAAGCCUGACGGAGCAAUACCGCGUGAGGGAUGAAUGCCUAUGGGUUGUAAACCUCUUUUUUCAGGGAGGAACACAAUGACGUGUACCUGAAGAAUAAGCAUCGGCUAACUCCGUGCCAGCAGCCGCGGUAAGACGGAGGAUGCAAGUGUUAUCCGGAAUCACUGGGCGUAAAGCGUCUGUAGGUGGUUUAAUAAGUCAACUGUUAAAUCUUGAGGCUCAACCUCAAAAUCGCAGUCGAAACUAUUAGACUAGAGUAUAGUAGGGGUAAAGGGAAUUUCCAGUGGAGCGGUGAAAUGCGUAGAUAUUGGAAAGAACACCGAUGGCGAAGGCACUUUACUGGGCUAUUACUGACACUCAGAGACGAAAGCUAGGGUAGCAAAUGGGAUUAGAUACCCCAGUAGUC
rnacentral:rRNA from 1 species